GAUGAACGCUAGCGGCAGGCCUAACACAUGCAAGUCGAGGGGCAUCGCGGUGCAGCAAUGCACUGGCGGCGACCGGCGUACGGGUGCGUAACGCGUAUGCAACCUGCCCCGCACCGGGGGAUAGCCCGCCGAAAGGCGGAUUAAUACCCCAUGGUCCCGGGGGCCCGCAUGGGCGAUCCGGGUAAAGCCUUGGCGGUGCGGGAUGGGCAUGCGUGCCAUUAGCUGGCUGGUGGGGUAACGGCCCACCAGGGCAACGAUGGCUAGGGGGUCUGAGAGGAUGGUCCCCCACACUGGUACUGAGACACGGACCAGACUCCUACGGGAGGCAGCAGUGAGGAAUAUUGGUCAAUGGGCGGAAGCCUGAACCAGCCAUGCCGCGUGCGGGAUGAAGGCCCUACGGGUUGUAAACCGCUUUUCCCCGGGAAGAAUAACCCCGAUGAGUCGGGGGAUGCCGGUACCGGGGGAAUAAGGAUCGGCUAACUCCGUG
rnacentral:rRNA from 1 species